AUUGAACGCUGGCGGCAUGCCUUACACAUGCAAGUCGAACGGCAGCACGGGGGCAACCCUGGUGGCGAGUGGCGAACGGGUGAGUAAUACAUCGGAACGUGCCCGGUAGUGGGGGAUAGCUCGGCGAAAGCCGGAUUAAUACCGCAUACGACCUACGGGUGAAAGCGGGGGACCGCAGGGCCUCGCGCUAUUGGAGCGGCCGAUGUCAGAUUAGGUUGUUGGUGGGGUAAAGCCCACCAAGCCGACGAUCUGUAGCUGGUCUGAGAGGACGACCAGCCACACUGGGACUGAGACACGGCCCAGACUCCUACGGGAGGCAGCAGUGGGGAAUUUUGGACAAUGGGCGCAAGCCUGAUCCAGCCAUGCCGCGUGCGGGAAGAAGGCCU
rnacentral:rRNA from 1 species